GACGAACGCUGGCGGCGUGCUUAACACAUGCAAGUCGAACGGAAAGGCCUGCUUUCCCUUGUGGAUUGCGGGUACUCGAGUGGCGAACGGGUGAGUAACACGUGAGUGAUCUGCCCCCAACUUGGGUAUAAGCCUGGGAAACUGGGUCUAAUUCCCGAUAGGACUGCAGGGUGGUGCCUGUGGUGGAAAACGAUUUUCUAGUGGUUGGGGAUGAGCUCGCGGCCUAUCAGCUUGUUGGUGGGGUAAUGGCCUACCAAGGCGGCGACGGGUAGCCGGCCUGGGAGGGUGGGCGGGCAAAUUGGGACUGAGAUACGGCCCAGAAUCCUACGGGAGGCAGCAGUGGGGAAUAAUGGACAAUGGGCGGGAGGCUGGUGGCGGGACGCCGCGUGGGGGAUGACGGCCUUCGGGUUGUAAACUCCUUUCGACCGCGAGGAAGCCACCUGGUUGGAAGGGUGGUGACGGUAGUGGUAGAAGAAGCACCGGCUAACUACGUG
rnacentral:rRNA from 1 species